UAUAUAUUAACAUUAAAUGUUAUUGCAUGAUACAGUGAACUUUGUGCUGAUUCAACAAUUUUAUUUUCAUCAUUUUUUGUGAAAGUUAAAAACCUUUGUCCUUGUGUGAGCAUAAAAGUUUUGAUGCUUUCUGUCAAUUGUCUUAAGGAUUACAGCAUGCAUGUUUCUCACGCAUUUGUUUUAUAUUUAUAGCUUGAAGGCAUAUGAUCUUG
rnacentral:misc_RNA from 1 species